GUAAUCCUACGGGACGCAGCAGUGGGGAAUAUUGGGCAAUGGGGGGAACCCUGACCCAGCGACGCCGCGUGAGGGAAGAAGGUUUUCGGAUUGUAAACCUCUGUCCUUGGUGACGAUAAUGACGGUAGCCAAGGAGGAAGCCACGGCUAACUACGUGCCAGCAGCCGCGGUAAUACGUAGGUGGCGAGCGUUAUCCGGAAUGAUUGGGCGUAAAGGGUGCGCAGGCGGUCCUGCAAGUCUGGAGUGAAACGCAUGAGCUCAACUCAUGCAUGGCUUUGGAAACUGGAGGACUGGAGAGCAGGAGG
rnacentral:rRNA from 1 species